AAAUAAUGCUGGGGUACGAUGCGGAGCGAAAUUUAGUAGCGAAGUAGCUGAUUUCACACUGUCGAGAAAAGUCUCUAUCGAGGUUAAAGGUGCCUGUACCGCAAACCGACACAGGUGGGUGAGGAGAGUAUCCUAAGGCCAGCGAGAGAACUGUUGUUAAGGAACUCGGCAAAAUGACCCCGUAACUUCGGGAGAAGGGGUGCCUUCGAAAGAAGGCCGCAGAGAAUAGGCCCAAGCGACUGUUUACCAAAAACAUAGGUUUCUGCUAAGUCGCAAGACGAUGUAUAGGAGCUGACGCCUGCCCGGUGCUGGAAGGUUAAGGGGAUCUGUUAGAGCAAUCGAAGCAGUGAACUUAAGCCCCAGUAAACGGCGGCCGUAACUAUAACGGUCCUAAGGUAGCGAAAUUCCUUGUCGGGUAAGUUCCGACCCGCACGAAAGGCGUAACGAUUUGGGCACUGUCUCAACAACAGACUCGGUGAAAUUGUAAUACCGGUGAAGAUGCCGGUUACCUGCGACAGGACGGAAAGACCCCAUGGAGCUUUACUGUAGCUUGACAUUGAGUCUCGGUGCUACAUGUACAGGAUAGGUGGGAGACUAUGAAGCAUGGACGUAGCCUGUGUGGAGUCAUCCUUGGGAUACCACCCUUGUAGUACUGGGAUUCUAACCAGAGGCCAUGAAUCUGGUCUUGGGACACUGUCAGGUGGACAGUUUGACUGGGGCGGUCGCCUCCCAAAAAGUAACGGAGGCGCUCAAAGGUUCUCUCAGUACGGUCGGAAAUCGUACGAAGAGUGUAAAGGCAAAAGAGAGCUUGAUUGCAAGACAUACAGGUCGAGCAAGGACGAAAGUCGGACUUAGUGAUCCGGUGGUUCCGCAUGGAAGGGCCAUCGCUCAACGGAUAAAAGCUACCCUGGGGAUAACAGGCUGAUCUCCCCCAAGAGUCCACAUCGACGGGGAGGUUUGGCACCUCGAUGUCGGCUCAUCACAUCCUGGGGCUGUAGUAGGUCCCAAGGGUUGGGCUGUUCGCCCAUUAAAGUGGUACGCGAGCUGGGUUCAGAACGUCGUGAGACAGUUCGGUCCCUAUCCGUCGCAGGCGUAGGAAAUUUGAGGAGACCUGUCCUUAGUACGAGAGGACCGGGAUGGACGUACCGCUGGUGUACCAGUUGUUCUGCCAAGGGCAUGGCUGGGUAGCUAAGUACGGAAAGGAUAAGCGCUGAAAGCAUCUAAGCGCGAAGCCCACUUCAAGAUAAGAUUUCCCACCGCAAGGUUAAGAUCCCAGGAAGACUACCUGGUUGAUAGGUCAGAGGUGUAAGUGCAGUAAUGUAUUUAGCUUACUGAUACUAAUAGAUCGAGGACUUGACC
rnacentral:rRNA from 1 species